GCUGGGUGCAGUGGCACGUGCCUGUAGUCCCAGCUACUCGGGAGGCUUAGGUGGGAGGAUCACUUGAGCCCAGGAGUUCUGGGCUGUAGUGCGCUAUGCCGAUAGGGUGUCUGCACUAAGUUCAGCAUCAAUAUGGUGACCUCCCAGGAGCAGGGGACCACCAGGUUGCCUAAGGAGGGGUGAACCAGCCCAGGUCGGAAACAAAGCAGGUCAAAACUCCCGUGCUGAUUAGUAGUGGGAUUGAGCCUGUGAAUAGCCACAACACUCCAGCCUGAGCAACAUAGCAAGACCCUGUCUCUA
ensembl:misc_RNA Metazoa_SRP Metazoan signal recognition particle RNA